AAAUUUCUGCUGCUUAUUUUUUAAAAGAACUCAGCCUUCCUACCCCCUUUUCUCUUUCAUUCGGCUAGGGUCCUGAACCCCUCAUCGCCGCCCUCAGUGGUUUGUCACACCACCAUUACAAUUAGUGGCCGACGACAAGCGAAAUAGGCUACCUAGCCUCUGUUCGUGGUGCCUUUGAAGGUCCCAAAUCCCUCGGUCGAGUGCCCGAAAAUAAAGGGACUUCCCAACCUCCCCUUUUUGGCUCAACUCCGAUAGAGAAAGAAGUCUCCGACGACCGACCAUGGGGGUUUUCCGAUGUCAGACAACAUGUGGAGGGCGACUGAUGGAGCAGCGUGCGAGCAGACGAAGAGGCGUGGGGCAGUGGCUGAACGUUCCUAGGGUUCUGCUGAUAUUUUUUGCAUUAGAUUGAUAGUUUGGGCUAUAUUUGUUAUUGGGCUGUUUAUUUUGGACUCUUUUUUAUUGUUUUGGGUUUUGUUAUAUUUUUUGUUUAUUUGUCUGAGCCCAAAAUUGGCUACUACAACGUGGUUGGAUCGUAAUACGAAAAUAUAACUUAUAGUAGAUAAA